UUGAUGGCGGGGUGAAUGCUUCACAUUCUAACACAUCUUUACAUAGAGAAUUCAUUCCCACGUAUAUAUAUUUAGAAAGAGAUUACGUUAAGACCAUACUAGAAACACUCUUUCCUCACGAGAAACCCCUCGCAAACCGGACAGGGUUCGAAUCUAACUGCAGAUCCUUCGCCCUCUUCAUAACCCAUUACAGAUUCCUCCGAAUUCUGAAACCUUGCCAAUUCAAUAAUACUCGGCUUGUAAGAUUCAAACCCAAAAUUGCCUUCUGCCCCAUCUUCGGGCCUUAAAACCCACCGUUUUUUUUUUCUGGUGCAGUAGCCCUUAAAUUCUCCGCAGUUCGGGGACCCAAAUGCUUUUUAAAUAUUAUUAGCUUGUUGGACACAGUUCUGUACAUGAUUUAGCCGACCCCACCCCCAACAAAAGUAAAUUGCAGAGGCAGAGUUUUAGCUUGUGAUGCCACUCUCAGCUGAGGGUUAGCGAAGCAAUGCUUGAUCGCCAUAAAAGGAUUUCACAGAGCUUUAUCAAUCAAAUUGAGUGGAUAAACUGAUCGGAAGGGAUGAACAGUGCAUUCAACGGACAGAUAUUAGCUGACAAGCUUUCUAAGCUUAACAACUCACAACAAAGCAUCGAAACAUUGUCACACUGGUGUAUUUUCCACCGUAAGAAAGCAAAGCAGGUUGUGGAAACAUGGGAUAGACAAUUCCAUAAUUCACUCAGGGAACAACGGGUGCCAUUUCUUUACCUUGCAAAUGACAUAUUGCAGAACAGCAGGCGAAAAGGUACUGAAUUUGUUGGAGAGUUUUGGAAGGUUCUUCCUGGUGUUCUCAAGGAUGUCUAUGAGAAUGGAGAUGAUUAUGGAAGGAAUGUGGUUUUUCGAUUGAUUGAUAUAUGGGAGGAACGAAAAGUAUUUGGAUCUCGUGGGCGCAGUCUUAGAGAAGAGAUGCUUGGGAAGGAUCCUCCUCCAUCACUGGAGAACAAUGGCAGAGGUUCACACUCCAUCAAAAUAGUAAGAAAGACUCCACAUUCUGUGAAAAUUAAACUGGCUGUUGGAGGUACACCAGAAAAAAUUGUAUCAGCUUUUCAGGCUGUGCACGAUGGCCAUAUUGAUGAGGAUGCGAUUUUGAACAAAUGUAAGGCUGCUUUCAGGCGAGUGGAGAAGAUGGACAAGGAUGUAGAAGAUGCUUGUGGAACUGGACAUUUAAAAAACUCAACUCUACCAGAUAAUCUUGAAGAGCAGGAACUUGUUCUGAGGCAAAGCAUUGAGCAACUUGAAAACAGUGAAAUGACACGGGCAGCUCUAGUUGCUCAAUUGAAAGAGGCGCUCCAGGAGCAGGAGUCUAAGCUAGAACAGGUUCGGACACAACUGCAGGUUGCCCAGGGUCAAUUGGAGCAAACAGAGAGUAUGCGUCAGCGCCUAAAUGAUGCAACAAGCAACGGAAAAAUGUCGUCAAAGCCGACUGCCACAAAUUCUCACGCACAUCAAGAUACAACUCCCACUGUUAGCCGAGAAAAUCAAUCUGCAUCAGAGAAAGAUAAUGCAACUUCAGCUGUGCCAAUGGCACCUACAACUUCUUUGGCAGAGUCUACUGGAAUUGUGGAUGUUAAACAUAAAAAGACUGCAUCAUCUGUUGCAGCUGAAGUAGCAGCCAAACUUGCAGCUUCAACUUCAUCAGCUCAAAUGCUUACCUCAGUCUUGUCAUCCCUUGCAGCUGAGGAGGCUGCCUCAAUAAGUAGUGGUUUGAGGACUACUAGUCUUCCAGUUGAAAUGUCAUCUGGAUAUCCCCCAGAGAAAAGAGCAAAAUUGGGAAACCACUUUUCAAAUUCAGAUGGCAGUUCACCAUAUGUGGUUCAUCAGUCCCCUGCACCACUUAAUUCGACUCCAAUGCAGCAUCAAGCUCCUGUGCCAUCACAAUUGUCCCCCAUGCAGCAUCAGUCUAUUUCCAUGCAACAACAACCUCAUCCAAACACCGUACAACAUCAGACAUCUCCUACCAUGCAACAUCUAACAUCUUCCCCCAUGCAGCAUCAACCUCCUUACCCACCCCCUCCACCCCCACCACCCCCGCCACCACCUUUACAGUAUAUAACUGGCAGCAGUAAUAUCAUGGGAAUGCCGUAUGGUUAUGGUAGCAAUUUACCACCACCACCUCCUUUAGUUGGGCAUCCAAUGAUAGGAAUGCAAAGGCCUGCAAUUCUACAACAGUCGGUGCCUCCUGGUCCUUACCAACCUCUCCAGCCUCCAGGAAUGGGAUUCUACAGUCAACCUCCCUUACCAGCCCCACCGAUUCCUCGACAAUAAAGUAAUAGAACUUUUUAACCAGUUCGUUGUUUUUCAGGAAGCUACAUAGGAAGAAGUCGCAGGAAUGAUCUUUAUGGAGCCAAUUGUGGUAAUAGGGCAUUUUACAAUUAACUACAGCAGAGGAAAAGAGUGGGCACUUACAUGAAAUAGGUCAAUGUGAGUAUGGCGGUCAGCAGAUUUUAGGAAUUCAUAAUUUAAAGUUUUAUCAAUCAUGUUAUGGAUUAUUAUCUUCAGCAAGAAAUUAUCUUCUGUAUGAGACAAUUGUGGUUUAGAAAGUAUUUUGAUCCUAGAAGUUAUUUUAUAAUUUGCUGCAAUUAUUUCUUUUAGUUUAUAUAAUUUUUUUACAUGAAUAAUGUUUCUGAACUGGGAGCUUAUGGUGGAACUUAAAUGAAUGAUUAUGAGUUUGAGAACUCAUGAUAUUCUAUUCUCAGUUCUUCUCUUGGCUUCAGCAGUUAUCAAAAUGUAAUACAUGAAACAGACAACAAAAUUCCCAGGACCAUAUACAAUCGUUCAAAGCGGUCCUCCCAGGCUUCUUCCUAGGUUCAAGUUGCUUACUGUAUUAUUAGGUAAUUUACUAUCUUUUUAUUUAUGAAAAUGGGGUGUUAUUAUCUCCCAUUUGUAAUCUCGGGCAAAUAUAUGGUUAUCCUACCAGGGGUAAAGCUUUUUAAGCAGUGAAGAUAACAGGUACAAUCUUGAUGAAAGGAGCUUUCAAGAUUCUUUUGGUUUAAUGGCAAAGUCCAUGUUGUAGGCACCUAGAUGGUGCUGAGCUCAAAUCUUUUACAAUACAAAAAGAAAAAAGAAGAAGAUUCUAUUGGUAUUGGCACUAGAAAUUCAGAUUAUCUGUAUUUAGGGAUGCAUGUGAGAUCUGCCUAGAAUUGGAGAAUUGGUAAUGUAGACAUUAAUGUUAUUCAUGACUCCACACUUUUGAGGCUGUUCUAAAUGCAACAAAAUAAAUGGAUUUUUUAAAAAAAAAUUCCCAUCUGGCACAGCAAUUAUAGCACAUUUGAUCGUCACAAGUUCCACACAUUGUAGUGUAAUUGCUGUUUGUGCCUUGUAACGAUGUAAGGUUACUUUGUGAGGGAGAGGUGGUUUGUAAGGCAUUACCAGUAACAACAGUAUUUCCAAUGGCGAAAGAGCCUGGAUGGGGAAAAUCCCAAAAUAGCUUAUGCAAUUCCCGUUUCUUUCACCAAAUGAUAUUGCCAGCUGUUGUACAUGCCAUGUGAACAUUCUCUAGUCGGUGGUUGUUACCACGUGAGCUAGUACAAUUUUGUAACUACAAGCAGUUGAAGCCAAGUUAUCAUGAUUAAAGGAGCUUGUAAGAA